rnacentral:lncRNA from 1 species
CACCCAAGUCCUUGUAGUAUUCGCCGAACUCGUCGUUCCAUAGGAAGUGAAGGUACUUCCCGGAGGGCUUGGAUUUGAGCACCACGUAUUUCGGUAAUCCGGCGACCGUCGUCAUCUCACUUUCACAAUCUUUCUCUCUUUAUUUCUUCUGGUUUGGUAAUGGGUAUUAAUGAACGGGAGCGGGGAUAUCUAUUUAUAGA